rnacentral:rRNA from 2 species
AAUACAUGCAGUCGAGCGAACUGAUUAGAAGCUUGCUUCUAUGACGUUAGCGGCGGACGGGUGAGUAACACGUGGGCAACCUGCCUGUAAGACUGGGAUAACUUCGGGAAACCGAAGCUAAUACCGGAUAGGAUCUUCUCCUUCAUGGGAGAUGAUUGAAAGAUGGUUUCGGCUAUCACUUACAGAUGGGCCCGCGGUGCAUUAGCUAGUUGGUGAGGUAACGGCUCACCAAGGCAACGAUGCAUAGCCGACCUGAGAGGGUGAUCGGCCACACUGGGACUGAGACACGGCCCAGACUCCUACGGGAGGCAGCAGUAGGGAAUCUUCCGCAAUGGACGAAAGUCUGACGGAGCAACGCCGCGUGAGUGAUGAAGGCUUUCGGGUCGUAAAACUCUGUUGUUAGGGAAGAACAAGUACGAGAGUAACUGCUCGUACCUUGACGGUACCUAACCAGAAAGCCACGGCUAACUACGUGCCAGCAGCCGCGGUAAUACGUAGGUGGCAAGCGUUAUCCGGAAUUAUUGGGCGUAAAGCGCGCGCAGGCGGUUUCUUAAGUCUGAUGUGAAAGCCCACGGCUCAACCGUGGAGGGUCAUUGGAAACUGGGGAACUUGAGUGCAGAAGAGAAAAGCGGAAUUCCACGUGUAGCGGUGAAAUGCGUAGAGAUGUGGAGGAACACCAGUGGCGAAGGCGGCUUUUUGGUCUGUAACUGACGCUGAGGCGCGAAAGUUGUGUUACUCGCGCC